rnacentral:rRNA from 1 species
AACGAACGCUGGCGGCAUGCCUAACACAUGCAAGUCGAACGAGACCUUCGGGUCUAGUGGCGCACGGGUGCGUAACGCGUGGGAACCUGCCCUUAGGUUCGGAAUAACUCCCCGAAAGGGGUGCUAAUACCGGAUAAUGUCUUCGGACCAAAGAUUUAUCGCCUUUGGAUGGGCCCGCGUUGGAUUAGCUAGUUGGUAGGGUAAAAGCCUACCAAGGCGACGAUCCAUAGCUGGUCUGAGAGGAUGAUCAGCCACACUGGGACUGAGACACGGCCCAGACUCCUACGGGAGGCAGCAGUGGGGAAUAUUGGACAAUGGGCGAAAGCCUGAUCCAGCAAUGCCGCGGGAGUGAUGAAGGCCUUAGGGUUGUAAAGCUCUUUUACCCGGGAUGAUAAGGACAGUACCGGGAGAAUAAGCUCCGGCUAACUCCGG